rnacentral:lncRNA from 1 species
AAUCCAUAGCAGGAGAAGGAUGUUCUGAGGAGAUCUACUCAUCCAUGAAGGAAGAAGCAGCCAAAGCUCUCACAGGGACAUCAGGACUUCUUUGACGGUUGAGCUGGCCAACAUUGGAAGGGGUUGGUUCACAAGACUUUUCCACUAGGACAUUAGGAAAUUAUGCCCUGGAAUGUCCUUCAGUGCCUAGAGCCCUCUCACAUUGGAAUAUGAAUUGGUCCCUGUGACCUUCCCACCCUAGAAAAUUCCUCCACCAUGCUGGCCAUUUUUUCUCCACUAGAGGAUUUCCAUUUUGGGGGAAGAACCUAAACAGACAUCUAAAAGGGCUGUUGAAACUGCUGCUACAAAGAGAUUUAGAAAGAGGAGUCACCAAUUCUUCUCAUAACUAUCUAUUGAAGAGAGAAAGAUUUGCAAUCUCUGUUAGGCGGCAGAGUGGAUAGAGUGUCGGACCUGGAGUCAGAAAGACCCAAGUUCAAAUCUGACUUCAGACACUUACUAGCUGUGUGACCCUGGAUAAGUCAUUUAAUCCAUCUGAGUGAAUGAAUAAAAAACUGAAGAACUGUGGA